rnacentral:sRNA from 1 species
GCGGGUCGGCGCCGUCGGUCCUGAGCGCUGCCUUCCGCGUUCCGCCGCGGCCCUACCUGGCGCCCCCGCCCCGCGCCAUGGCCGGAGCUCCCGGGGCGCAACGCUGACCGCGGCCGGGGGAGCGCGCCAUGCCCAGCAGGACCGGCCCCAAGAUGGAAGGGAGCGGCGGCCGCGUCCGCCUCAAGGCGCAUUACGGGGGGGACAUCUUCAUCACCAGCGUGGACGCCGCCACGACCUUCGAGGAGCUCUGCGAGGAAGUGAGAGACAUGUGUCGUCUGCACCAGCAGCACCCGCUCACCCUCAAGUGGGUGGACAGUGAAGGUAGCCCUUGUUCCAUGUCGGCCAGAAUCCUCAGCCUCAGGGGACUUCGCCAGGGAAGCCUCUGUGUGCGGAGUGUGCUCAGCCUCUUCUGUGGGGAGACUUAAAACCGUGGAAUUAAACUUGUUGGAGCCAACUUUUCCCCAGUGGGGAUGGUGGGAAAGAGGUUGGCCGCAGAUGCUUAACGAGGACCUGGGCCCA